AUGGAACCCUUCAGUUCGGCUGGCUGGAACACAGGUGCUGCAUGGCUGUCGUCAGCUCGUGUCGUGAGAUGUUGGGUUAAGUCCCGCAACGAGCGCAACCCUCGCCCUUAGUUGCCAUCAUUUAGUUGGGCACUCUAGGGGGACUGCCGGUGAUAAGCCGCGAGGAAGGUGGGGAUGACGUCAAGUCCUCAUGGCCCUUACGGGUUGGGCUACACACGU
rnacentral:rRNA from 1 species